rnacentral:lncRNA from 1 species
AACCCGUAUAGAGAGAUUCAAACACAGAGAAUGACUAGUUGCUUAAGCAUUCAUGUUAGGAUCAUACAAUCAAUUAUCUCUUGUAUGUAUCGUCUCUAUUUUUAAUAUCUAAAUAUACAAGGAAACUAUAAUCUCCUCCUUCACCAUAUCAGUCUCUUCUUUAUAGCAAUUCAGUCAUACCAAUAACUGCUAUUUCCACCAAUAUAUUCACCCUCAUAAUCUCCAACUGUAAUACUGCGCCCUCACAACUUUCAGCACACAAUUACUCUUAUUCCAAUCAUUGGACUUCUUCACACAGAACUGCCAUUCACAUUACGAUGUUUCACACAAACACAGAGUCAUUCUCUCUGCUAAACUACAAUCAGAUUUCAGCAUUCAAUCUUUCUUCUUCUCAAAUAAUAUCAAUCACAUUUCUAUUCCAUAAUUCACUUCACAAUAUUCAGAAACUCUCAAUCCUCUUAUUCAAAGAAAAUAACAAACAAAAGAAAAGAGGUAGCAUCAAGCUUACCUCGGCUCACACUAUCACAAUGAUGGCCCUCGGCUCAUGACUAUCACAAUCUGGCAUUUUCUUCCCCUCUCCCAUCCUCCUUAUACUACCCUGAGAUAGCAACUCUUAUACUACAGAUGAUAACUACUUUUCCUGACUAUUCAUCCAUUCUACUUGCUGAACCACCUUUUCAGCACUUAUCUAUCCCUGUUUAUACUAUAUACUAGGUAUCUACAUUCUGAAAAUAACUACUUAUUCUACAUAGCUUCACUCCUAAUUGUGUAGCAUCCCAGCAAACACUCAAUUGAUACCUAUCUAAAAAUUAUCUAACAAAUCUCUACAAAGUUACUAGCUCCUUUGGCCUAUCUAAUUAAUCAAUUGCCGCAUUAUCGAAUGUAGGUUCGACCAAAUCUGGUUCCAAUUACAAAUCUUCUUCUUCCUCCUCCAAUCCAUCUAUCGACUUCUUCUUCAACUAAGCUGAAAGGUCUUCAUUAUACUUAUCCAAUAUGCGGAUUUGAGCAUC